AAUCUGCAACUGCUGAAUCCUAUGAUUAUAGGUACGGAGGAACCAUGCUAAGGGGUUAAUCCAUUUAUGGUAGGGGGUCUCCUCCCCCGAACCCGUCAGCUAACUUCGGAAGCAAAUUAUAGAAAGGAGUG
rnacentral:sRNA from 2 species